rnacentral:rRNA from 1 species
AUUGAACGCUGGCGGCAGGCCUAACACAUGCAAGUCGAGCGGAUGAAGGGAGCUUGCUCCUGGAUUCAGCGGCGGACGGGUGAGGAAUGCCUAGGCAUCUGCCUGGUAGUGGGGGACAACGUUUCGAAAGGAACGCUUAUACCGAAUACGUACUACGGGAGAAAGCAGGGGCCGUGCGGGCCUUGCUCUAUCAGAUGAGCCUAGGUCGGAUUAGCUAGUUGGUGAGGUAAUGGCUCACCAAGGCGACGAUCCGUAACUGGUCUGAGAGGAUGAUCAGUCACACUGGAACUGAGACACGGUCCAGACUCCUACGGGAGGCAGCAGUGGGGAAUAUUGGACAAUGGGCGAAAGCCUGAUCCAGCCAUGCCGCGUGUGUGAAGAAGGUCUUCGGAUUGUAAAGCACUUUAAGUUGGGAGGAAGGGUUGUAGAUUAAUACUCUGCAAUUUUGACGUUACCGAAAGAAUAAGCACCGGCUAACUCUGUGCCAGCCGCCGCGGUAAAAC